rnacentral:rRNA from 1 species
UACGUAGGGGGCAAGCGUUGUCCGGAAUCAUUGGGCGUAAAGAGCGUGUAGGCGGUUCGGUAAGUCUGCCGUGAAAACCUGGGGCUCAACCCCAGGCGUGCGGUGGAUACUGCCGGGCUAGAGGGUGGUAGAGGCGAGUGGAAUUCCCGGUGUAGCGGUGAAAUGCGCAGAUAUCGGGAGGAACACCAGUAGCGAAGGCGGCUCGCUGGGCCAUACCUGACGCUGAGACGCGAAAGCGUGGGGAGCAAACAGG